rnacentral:sRNA from 1 species
CCGGGACGUGGCGGUUGACGG